UGGACGCACAUGCCGCGUCCAUGGUUUCGAUUGCCACACGUCGGCCAUCCGGUCCUCCCCGGCGACCAGAAGACCUUCCCUCACCCCCUGCUGAAACCCUAGCCCCCUCAUUCCCCUCUCGCAUUGUUUCUUUCUCUCCUGCAAGAAGCCGAGUCGCCGUCGCCGUGAACCCCGUCGUCCUCGCGCCCAUCCAGCUCCCCGACGCCUGAAAAUUUGUCCAACUACUUCGCCUUCGUCGUCUACGUCGACUGCAUGGACGGAUUCGGCCUCGGAGCCCCUACAACGAGUGGAUCGAACUCUUCUUCCACCUCGACACCCAAAGCACGCCAUCGUCAAAUUCGUCUCCGUCGAACCCUCCCCGACCACACCGUCUACUCCACUCCGACCACUAUGCUGGAGUCAAGGAGCCAGAGGAUCCCGAGGAUGAUUCUACAUGGACUUCGACUUCGAGGAGUAGUUAGGAGGUCCCAGGUAGGAGGCCUUGCCUUUUCGAUCAUUGCUACUUUUGUGCUAGCCUUCUUAAGGCAAUCGUGUUUAACUUAUGUCUGCACUUAGAUAUUAUUGCUUUUCGCUGACUCUUGUAUUUUUCGAGCUUAUGUAUUCGAGCCCUCGAGGCCCCUGGCUUGUAAUAUAAAGCUUGUAUUAUUUGAAUUUGUGUCUAGAGUUGUGUUGUGAUAUCUUCCCGUGAGGCCUUGAUCUUGAUCGUACACAUUUGCGUGUAUGAUUAGUGUACGGUCAAAUCAGGGGCGUCACACGCAGCCACUUCUCGGGCAGCGCCAACCAACGUCAUCACCCUUCCAGACGACGAUGAGGAGGAACCUCCGAGAAGCAGAGGGGGAGGAGGCAGGUCGACUCCCUCAUGAAGGUUGAUAGGAGAACACCUUCAGGUUAGACAUCUCAUACGCCGCCUGAACUUGCCUUUCAAGAGCCUGGUGGUUCGUCUCAGACCGGUGCUAUCGCUACUGCUCCACCAUCAAUUACUCUGCCAUUGGUGUCAACUCCUCCAACCUUUGAGCCUUCUGGCCAAACUCAAGCGCCAAUUCUUCUGACUGCAUCGUCAGCUCCAUCACCGAUUGUAUUCGCUCUGCACCAUGUUCCAUAGGACCAGACCAAGGCCAGCAAGGAGGCUACGAUCCAGGCCGGUUUGAUGAUGCAGCGCCCAGAGGAGGUGUAUGAAAGCAUCAAGCUAGAUUAUGAUGUCAGCACAACCAUUCAAGCUAAUGUCCUUAAAUCUUGUGAACUUGGGACUCAGUAUGUUGCCCUAGAGAGGGAGAAGAUCGAACUCCAACUGGAUCUAGAACUCUCCAAGAAGAAUUUGAAGGAUGCUCAGGAUGAAGUGAAGACCAUGGGAGGUAACACUUUGCUGACUAUGUGCUUUGUCAUUUCUUCUUUUUGUCCUUUCAACCGAGUGACUCCACUCGAACAAAUGUGCGUAGUGAAAACCGCCAACUC